rnacentral:rRNA from 1 species
GUGGGCCUACGGGGGGCAGCAGUGGGGAAUAUUGCACAAUGGGGGAAACCCUGAUGCAGCGACGCCGCGUGAGUGAAGAAGUAUCUCGGUACGUAAAGCUCUAUCAGCAGGGAAGAAAAAAAGUCUUUGGCUUUGGACGGUACCUGACUAAGAAGCCCCGGCUAACUACGUGCCAGCAGCCGCGGUAAUACGUAGGGGGCAAGCGUUAUCCGGAUUUACUGGGUGUAAAGGGAGCGUAGACGGCAGCGCAAGUCUGGAGUGAAAACCCGGGGCUCAACCCCGGGACUGCACUGGAAAC